UAUAAAUACAGGAUCUACGCAAGAGUUACUGAGUUCCCGUGACCGAUAAUAUAUACACUAUGUCCGCCCCUGUCCUUGCUUGACCCAACUUAUAUGAUUACAUAGAACAUAUUAUUAUUGUUAUUGAUCAUACAAUCGGCAGAAACAGGAUUUCGGAUAUUCAAGUCUGUCACCAUCCAAAAUGAAAACUACUUUGAAGAUUUUGGCCCAAAAGAAAGAAUCAUGGUUGUAUGUAACAGGAGUUGGACUCCGGGCA
rnacentral:lncRNA from 1 species